AAGAGGACAAGAAUAGAGGAGAAAGAGGCAAGACUAUGGAGAAGAAGAAGGAGCUUGAAGAUUUUUCAUCCAUGGUGUCAAUUGAAGAUGCAAUUAGAGACCCAUUGAGUUGCUUCCAUUGAUAAGGUAUUCAAGUAUGAAGAUUUAGUUGCCGUUACUCGAGUCGGUUGUCGCUCUGAUACGUAGCACUCUGGGGGGAACGAUUUAUAUUAUUUAUGAUGUUGCUAUUUAAUUGUUUCAUUUUGGUCGGACAAAAUGAUAAGUUAACUGAAGAUAUUUUAUUGAAUAUAUUCUUAAGUGAUUCCGCUGUGUUUUAAUAAAAUAAGUUAUUCUGCUUCAAA